AUGUUCCCGCAAAGAAAUAAACUGAUCUAUGGAAAAAAGGAAACUCUCAUGUUGCGACAAGUGGCGCAUAUGCCACAACGUGAGGAGGUUGCAGUGACCUUUGCAAUUAGUGGUUUCCACCAAGCAAACAUCCCGUUUUCUUUCUCCGUGGGCCUGGUUAGGCUUGGUGCGGGCUUCCAAAUGCUCAUGGAUCCACGAGGCCCAUCUCGGCGAACAAUCCAUACCACAGGCCCGGCUAGCCCAGUAACCCAUCGGCUCGGCCUCCCUGAUUCCCCUGAUCCCAACACGCUCGCGGCGGAGAAGAGCACAUCAGUCGUCGACGGAGCAUCGCUAACCAAGCGAAGCUAG
rnacentral:rRNA from 1 species